AUUGAACGCUGGAGGCAGGCCUAACACAUGCAAGUCGAACGAGUGGCGGACGGGUGAGUAAUGUCUGGGAAACUGCCUGAUGGAGGGGGAUAACUACUGGAAACGGUAGCUAAUACCGCAUACCAUCAGAUGUGCCCAGAUGGGAUUAGCUUGUUGGGGGGGUAACGGCUCAACAAGGCGACGAACCCUAGCUGGUCUGAGAGGAUGAGCAGCCACACGGGAACUGAGACACGGUCCAGACUCCUACGGUAGGCAGCAGUGGGGAAUAUUGCACAAUGGGCGCAAGCCGGAUGCAGCCAUGCCGCGUGUAUGAAGAAGGCCUGCGGGUUGUAAAGUACUUUCAGCGGGGAGGCGUUACCCGCAGAAGAAGCACCGGCUAACUCCGUGCCAGCAGCCGCGGUAAUAC
rnacentral:rRNA from 1 species